CCCAGACUCCUACGGGAGGCAGCAGUGAGGAAUAUUGGUCAAUGGGCGCGAGCCUGAACCAGCCAAGUCGCGUGAGGGAUGACGGUCCUACGGAUUGUAAACCUCUUUUGCCGGGGAGCAAGCGUGCGUUCGUGAACGCACGUCGAGAGUACCCGGAGAAAAAGCAUCGGCUAACUCCGUGCCAGCAGCCGCGGUAAUACGGAGGAUGCGAGCGUUAUCCGGAUUUAUUGGGUUUAAAGGGUGCGUAGGCGGGAUGGCAAGUCAGCGGUAAAAAUGCGGGGCGCAACGCCGGCGAGCCGUUGAAACUGGCGUUCUUGAGUGGGCGAGAAGUAUGCGGAGUGCGUGGUGUAGCGGUGAAAU
rnacentral:rRNA from 1 species